GAGGGUAUAGCUCAGUGGUAGAGCACAUGCUUAGCAUGCAUGAGGUCCUGGGUUCGAUUCCCAGUACUUCCA
rnacentral:tRNA from 1 species